rnacentral:rRNA from 1 species
AUUUGAAACUGCAAUUCUUGAGGAAUGGCGGAGGAAACGGAAUUCCACGUGUAGCGGUGAAAUGCUUAGAUAUGUGGAAGAACACCUGUGGCGAAAGCGGUUUUCUAGCUUUUACCUGACGCUGAGGCGCGAGAGCAAGGGGAGCAAACAGGAUUAGAUACCCUGGUAGUCCUUGCCGUAAACGAUGUAUACUUGAUGUAGUUAGGCUCAACCCUGGCUGUGUCGUAGCUAACGCGAUAAGUAUACCGCCUGAGGAGUACGCUCGCAAGGGUGAAACUCAAAAGAAUUGACGGGGGCCCGCACAAGCAGUGGAGCAUGUGGUUUAAUUCGAUGCAACGCGAAGAACCUUACCCAGGCUCGAAAUGCAAGGGAUAGCAUCAGAAAUGGUGUGUUCCGAAAGGACCUUUGUAUAGGUGCUGCAUGGCUGUCGUCAGCUCGUGCCGUGAGGUGUUGGGUUAAGUCCCGCAACGAGCGCAACCCUUAUCAUUAGUUGCCAACACGUUAAGGUGGGGACUCUAAUGAGACUGCCUAGGUUAACUAGGAGGAAGGUGAGGAUGACGUCAAGUCCGCAUGGCCCUUAUGUCUGGGGCUACACACGUGCUACAAUGGUCGGUACAGAAGGCAGCAAGACCGUAAGGUGGAGCAAAUCCUAAAAAAGCCGAUCUCAGUUCGGAUUGUAGUCUGCAACUCGACUACAUGAAGUUGGAAUUGCUAGUAAUGACGUGUCAGCAACAACGUCGUGAAUACGUUCCCGGGCCUUGUACACACCGCCCGUCACAUCAUGGGAGUUGGUUUUACCCGAAGUCGCUGACUUAACCGCAAGGAAAGAGGCGCCUAAGGUAAGGCUGAUGACUGGGAUGAAGUCGUAACAAGGUAGCCCUACCGGAAGGUGGGGCUG